rnacentral:misc_RNA from 1 species
UAUAUGGUUUACAUUUUUUAGUGCAUACAAGAUCAUGAAGUUUAAUUUCUUUUUAGUUAAGCACUGAGUUUCAAACUAAAGCUCUGGGACUAAAUCUUAAAUGCAUGUGGUUUGUGAGCGAUUGCAAGAAAAGUUUGACAAUUCACUUCAUACUGCGUUUAAUCUUACAAUUGAAACAUUAAUCCCAUCUUUUAAAUGUUUUAUAACCAUAUUUAAGGUACAAAUCAAAAGGUUGGUUCACCUAAUUCAACCUUCAGCAGGUCUCAAUCAAUAUUGCAGUGCAAGUCAUUUUUCCACAAGUGUGAAAGAUUCACAUUGCGAUAAUAAAUUACCAUGUGGAGAUGAUGAGUUGUGUAGUAUAGGAGAUAAGGAAUGUUUGAUAGGUAACGUUUCCCCCUUUUUUUGGGUUCAAAAUGACUGAGAAGAGAUAAGGAAUGUUUGAUAGGUGACGUUUCCCCCUUUUUUUGGGUUCAAAAUGACUGAGAAGAGAUAAGGAAUGUUUGAUAGGUG